CCCUGGCUCAGGACGAACGCUGGCGGCGUGCCUAAUACAUGCAAGUCGAGCGGAUCUUGUCCUUCGGGACAAGAUUAGCGGCGGACGGGUGAGUAACACGUGGGUAACCUGCCUGUAAGACUGGGAUAACAUUCGGAAACGAAUGCUAAUACCGGAUACGCGGUUUGGUCGCAUGACCGAACCGGGAAAGAUGGAGCAAUCUAUCACUUACAGAUGGACCCGCGGCGCAUUAGCUAGUUGGUGAGGUAACGGCUCACCAAGGCGACGAUGCGUAGCCGACCUGAGAGGGUGAUCGGCCACACUGGGACUGAGACACGGCCCAGACUCCUACGGGAGGCAGCAGUAGGGAAUCUUCCGCAAUGGACGAAAGUCUGACGGAGCAACGCCGCGUGAGUGAUGAAGGUUUUCGGAUCGUAAAGCUCUGUUGCCAGGGAAGAAUGCUUGGGAGAGUAACUGCUCCCAAGGUGACGGUACCUGAGAAGAAAGCCCCGGCUAACUA
rnacentral:rRNA from 1 species